UCCAGUGUCUUCUCCACUCGAGGAGACAGACCCAUUUCCCCUUAGGAAAUGUGCUUCUGCUUUGCACCCUCAAACUCUCCUUACAAUAAAUUCUUCACGCGCACUUGCUGAGUGUCUGUUGUCUCUCUCUGUCCCGUGUGAUACUUCCAAGCCAGGAGCCCAAGAACUGGGGCAACCCUUCCAAGUCCAGCUGUGGACUAAACCCUGACAUUUGAUGCCACAACCCAGGAGGAAAACCUGCUUGUUAGACAGGAGAUGGCACUCUCAUCCAAACCGGCAGAGCCCCUGAGCCAGCAUCCUCCGCACCCACCGACCCUCCAGGGCUCCUUCAUCCUGAUGGGCACACCUGGCUGUGGAGCAGGUUCGGCUUCGUCACACGGCCACGCUGAGCCUUAGGUAACUCUCUCCCUGUCACAGAGGGCCUAGUUCUUUCCAGACCCAGGAUGAAGAUGGUGUUAUUCUUUACUGGGAGUUUCCAAAGCUACCAGGAGGAAGGGAAGAAUACAAGGAAGGAAGGAUGGAGGAGCAAACCACUGGCAUCAGAGAAGCACGUUACCGACGUCCUAUGACCAGCAGGAAGCAGCAGCCCAGAGUCCUGACCGAAGAAACAAAGUUGUCUGUGGGUGACAGGCAGGAGCCUGAGGCUCUGCAGCCAAGAGGGAAGCCCUAAAAAGUUGAUCCGUGUAAGAGAAGCAAGGAUCACAGGAUUCCACACCAUACCUGGAAGCGGGAAUUCGCUGGUGACAGCCAAUGACUGACGGGAAACCCCCAAAGUCUACCUGUGUCAAUUACUUUUAAAAACUUGCUCUCUAUAAACAAUCUAAUACAAUCUUUUAAUGUUUACAAGUAUAGCCAUUUAACUACAAUGUUCUAUUUUCCUAAGUUAAAAAUAAACAAAAUAU